rnacentral:rRNA from 1 species
CCUACGGGUGGCAGCAGUGAGGAAUAUUGGUCAAUGGACGCGAGUCUGAACCAGCCAAGCAGCGUGCAGGAUGACGGCCCUAUGGGUUGUAAACUUCUUUUAUAUGGGAGUAAAAUGUUCCACGUGUGUGUUUUUGUAUGUACCAUAUGAAUAAGGAUCGGCUAACUCCGUGCCAGCAGCCGCGGUAAUACGGAGGAUGCGAGCGUUAUCCGGAUUUAUUGGGUUUAAAGGGAGCGUAGGUGGUGUGUUAAGUCAGUUGUGAAAGUUCGCGGCUCAACCUUAAAAUUGCAGUUGAAACUGGCAGUCUUGAGUACAGUAGAGGUGGGCGGAAUUCGUGGUGUAGCGGUGAAAUGCUUAGAGAUCACAAAGAACGCCGAUUGCGAAGGCAGUUCACUGGACUGCAACUGACACUGAGGCUCGAAAGUGUGGGGAGCAAACAGGAUUAGAUACCCUAGUAGUC